rnacentral:rRNA from 1 species
AGAGUUUGAUCCUGGCUCAGAAUCAACGCUGGCGGCGUGCCUAACACAUGCAAGUCGAACGCGAAAGCCCCGCAAGGGGUAAGUAGAGUGGCAAACGGGUGAGUAACACGUGGGUGACCUGCCUCAGAGUGGGGGAUAACGACCCGAAAGGGUCGCUAAUACCGCAUAACAUCCUGCGUUUGGAAACGCGGAGAUCAAAG